rnacentral:rRNA from 1 species
UACGUAGGUGGCAAGCGUUGUCCGGAUUUAUUGGGUUUAAAGGGUGCGUAGGCGGUCUAUUAAGUCAGUGGUGAAAUACUCCAGCUCAACUGGAGGGGUGCCAUUGAUACUGAUGGACUUGAGUCAAGUCGAGGUAGGCGGAAUUGACGGUGUAGCGGUGAAAUGCUUAGAUAUCGUCAAGAACACCUAUAGCGAAGGCAGCUUACUAGGCUGUAACUGACGCUGAGGCACGAAAGUGUGGGGAUCAAACAGG